rnacentral:piRNA from 1 species
UGAGAUGGACACGUCCCAACCCCGGC